rnacentral:lncRNA from 1 species
GGAGAUGGACAUGGACAGGGGCUGAAACUGCAGUACCAGCAGAUGGGGAGCUUAAGAAGGAAGCUAGUUCAUGGCACAGCACCCGUAAAGUCCCCAGAAUUGGAGGCACCAGAUUCUUCUGAAAGAAAAGGAGCAAUUCAGCACUUGUCAUGCAGAUAAGAGGUCAACACCCCAGGACGGAGUGAAAACCUAAGGUUUGUAUUUUUGAUACACAAAGUGCUCUUUUGGAGGAAACCAAAAAAUGUCGAGUUUCUGGCAAGGUAUGGAAACAGGACAGAAGGAGACCAGAGUCGAAGCACCAGAGGGCAUAGAUGUGGAAAGUGGUCCUAGUUAGGAGCUGUUGCCCAGGAAAUGUUGAGGGCACAAGCUGUAAGCAGGACCACAGUGAAGACAGCUAGUGUCAAAAGCCCUGCCAAGCCAGUCCUUCACAAGGGCUGUCCAGCCUUUAGCAUGGGGGACUCAGCAUGGCAGGCCUGUACCUAGUAAAAUUUCUGUCUUCCCAGUGGUGACAAUCGGCUCCUUCCGCACCUGUAAGAGCAAAUUUGGUUCUGCCACUGUCUGAUUGCCUGGUGCUCACAGUUCACUUCCCUGUCAAGCCAGGUCAUCCUAAUACCAGAGAGGACUUCACUUCUCCCUAGCAAUGACCAAUUCUGUGAAACUGAUUACUCCAAACUGUAUGUAUAGACUUAGCAAUGAGGAAAGGCUUUGCCAGAUCAUCUUUUAAAACUAAACCUCAACUUCGAUGUGCUCUCUGUGCUCCAACCACACCUGUCUUUUUCCUUGUUCCUCAAUGGUGUCAUGUUUCUGUUACAGGGUCUUAGCAUAAGCUAUUUCUUCUGCCUGGAGGGCGCAUCCCCCAACCAUCACAUGACUGGCCACAUUGCUCAGACUUUAGCCUAGAUGUCACCUCUUCAGAGAAGCCUUCUCUGACCACCUUAUUUAAUGUUGAUCACUCCACCUGCAGCCCAAACACCAGCUAAUAAAUUCCCUCCUACUCCUCCAUCGUUUCUUUAAUUUUUAUGCCUCAUGUGAAAAGUAUCGAGUCAAUCACAUACUUCAGUUCAUGGUAUAAUAUUAUUACAUUUCUUUCGUGGAUAUUUUCCCCAUUCAUCCCUGGUUUCCAUUUCCGUUACCUCUCCUUUCACAUAUUCAUUCACUAUAAGGCAUUACAUAUAUAUCCUUGUCUAAAAAUGUAAUAUUGUCAAAUGUAAGUUAUUAUUUGGUAUAUCAUAUGUUUCACAAAUAGUAUUGUGCAAUAGACCUUGCUCUAGUUAUUAUGUUUUGUAUUCACCAGUGUGUUCUAAAGACCCAUCUGUAUCUGUUAUAUAUGUAGGUACACUUGGUUCAUUGCUUCUAACUGAUCCUUGGUAUCCCGUAGUGUGCAUUCAUCCCUGCUCUGGAUACAGUCAGCUCCCAAAUUCCAUAAACAACUCCUUUGUAAGUAACCUCCUUUUGACAGGGGGUAGAAUUGCUCAGGGUCCAGAUGCUCCCAUUAUUAUCUGUUCCUCACCCUGGCCAGGCUGUGGCACUGCCCUGAUAUUAUCCCAUCACCUCCGUGUAGCAGAUAUUUUGUCUCAAGGUGGUUCCAGGCCAGGCGAUUAUCUGCCAAGGACAGUGGUUAGAGAGAGGAAACAGCCUGCAACUCUGCCUGCACCAUGUCCUAACAGUGACUUUCUCUGCUCAGCCUAUGGUUUACCCACAGCAGGUCACAGCCACCCUUUCUCUCUGCCCAGUGGUUUCUUAUGGUUUUUACCUAGAUUUACGUCGACUUGCAGAUCAGUACACUCCUCUCCUGCUUCUGAGGCAACAUCAGGGUUGGAAUUUGUGGAGUUCCUUAUAGUCUUCAUAAUGCUAAUCACUACCUGAAAUUAUCAUCUUUUUAAUUGGUUUACUUGCUUAUUGUCUGUCUCCCUCACUGUAAGACUGUAAAUGCCACAUGAGCAAGGACCUUAUCUGAACACCUUCCUAGGUUUGGGGAUAUCCCACCACAUGCAUACCACUGAGGGGCAGAGAUGCCUUCCAGUGUAGAAACAGCUAGGACCAUAUAGUCACAGCCCCAGGCAGCUUCACAGCUAAGGCACGGGCAUUCCUUCUCUAUUUGGCCAUCAGACCGACCUGUGAAUCCCAAGUUGGAGAAAUGAAGUCACCAAGGCAGUGGAGAAUUCAGUGGUCGGGGCAGCUGUAGUGGCAGCAGUAGUGCCUGUGGCAACAGUUUCAGGAGUAGCAGUUGGUAUCCUGCCUCCAAAGACAGAAUGUAGGUCCACCAGCAGCACCGCCUUUACCAGACUGGUACUAGGACCUAAUUUUGGAAGUGGUUCUUCCUAUCGAGACUUUGGGCUACCUAAUAUCCUUUCAACAAAUUUGUUAUUUCCUAAAUCAGUCAGAAUCAACUUUUAGUGUGUAAACUGAGAACCCUCAGUAGAACUAUUAGCCACAAUGUCCGCUUUUAUUGUCUAAGUCCAUUUGAGCUGAACUUUCUGUAACUUGAAGACAGAAGCUCCCUAACUCAGGGGUCCUCAACUCCCAGGCCACACAGCAGGAGGUCAGCAGUGGGCUGGCUAGCAGGGGAGGCUUCAUCUGUAUUUACAGCCGCUUCCCAUCACUCGCAUCACCGCCUGAGCUCUGCUUCCUUCAGAUCAGCAGUGGCAUUACAUUCUCAUAGGAGUGGGAACCCUAUUGUGAACUGUGCUUGUGAAGGAUCUAGGUUGUGUGCUCCUUAUGAGAAUCAAUGCCUGAUGAUCUGUCACUGUCUCCCAUCACCCACAGAUGGGACUGUCUAGUUGCAGGAAAACAAGUUCAGGGUUCCCACUGAUUCUACAUUAUGGUGAGUUGUAUAACUAUUUCAUUAUAUAUUACGAUGUAAUAAUAAUAAGAGUAAAGUGCACAAUAAACGUGAUGUGCUUGAAUCAUCCCCAAACCAUCCCCCACCCUUAUCCUGUCCAUGGAAAAAUUGUCUUCCACGAAACCAGUCCCUGGUGCCAGAAAGAUUGGGACAACUGCCCUAACUGAUGUAAGAGUAUGGGCAAUAAGUGUUUUCAGUGCACUGAGUGAUUAAAGAUUGUUGGGGCAGGGUGUGUGCAAGUUGAACUUAGCUCAGUGCAUCCACUGGCAAGGAGGUGGUAGCAGGAAAUAGGCAUGUGGUGACUUCAGUAACAGAGACGACUGCAGGGCUGACCUAAGCUUAGUAGCCUGGCUUCUCCGGGAGCUGAGGGUGAGCAUCAUGCCUGCUCCAUCUCCCUCUUUGUUGUGGAUAAGGCAGGUAGGAAGAAUGACGGAUUGCCUUACCCUUUCUAAUUGUUGUGUGCUCUCCAUACCCCACCCAAUCCUACUUCAACAUUGUCACCUAAGGAUUCACAAACCCACCCUUGUGCGAAUCCAGCCGUCUGUGUUCUAGACUGGCAAGGACCAUAUCUGAUUCUGAGAUGCUCAGGAAGGUGUGCUCCCAAUUGGCCCUUGUCCAGACUAGUUUACUUGCUGAGUAUCCCCAGGGCACAGGAACAAUCAUUUGGGGUUGCGGCUUUGUUCAUAGGGUCAUCAAGACAGGAGGAUAUGAGGCAGAAUCACCACACAAGGUAAGAGUACAUUUAGAAAUUCUCUUGAGUAAAUAAUACUGGCUUUAUCACUAUGCUUAUUUCUGUGUUUCUACUUGCUCUCAGAUUUUGGCUUGGUUAUUUCUUACUAUCUUGUUAGCUCUUUGAUGCCUCUAGUUUUGUUUUUAUUUUUGAUAUUGUUGUUUUCUUUUCUUUUUUUUUUGAGAUGGAGUCUCGCUCUGUCACCCAGGCUGGAGGCCAGUGUCACAAUCUCAGCUCACUGCAGCCUCCGCCUCCCGGGUUCAAGUGAUUCUCUUGCCUCAGCCUCCCGAGUAGCUGGGAUUACAGGUGCCCACAACCAUGCCAGGCUAAUUUUUGUAUUUUUAGUAGAGACAGGGUUUCAUCACGUUGGCCAGGCUGGUCUCAAACUCCUGACCUCAGGUGAUCCACCUGCCUCGGCCUCCCAAAGUGCUGGGAUUAUGGGUGUGAGCCACUGCGUCCAGCCAUUGUUGUUUUUUUUUCUGAUUUAGCCACAUUUUUUGUUAUUUUCAGUGGGAGAAUGGUCCAAAAUAUCUUGGUUGCCAUAUUGUCAGAAAUGGAAAUCUUCUAUUGAUUUUUAAAUUUCAUCAUUCUUAUUUUUCAUUCUUAUUUAAUUCUUCAUUUAAUUGGUUCUUUAAAUCUCUUUGACAUUUUAAGAUAAUUUCUCAUUUCCUGCCUGUAUUUUCAAGGUUGUUUGAUAUUUCUCUAAAAUUGUUAAACAUAGUAUUUUGUAUUUUGUAUAUAAGUCCAAUAUCGAAAACACCCAUCCUGCCACUACAAGAAAAGUUUUGCCCAAGAAUGAACCAACGUAGAGAAAAACAGAGCUAAGACAAACCAAGGCUAACUGCUGAUUUAAGUCCCUAGAUCCAGCUAUUCUUGAAGCCUUCUCAGUUACACAAACCAAUAAUACUUACUUUUUUUACUUAAACUAUUUUCUGUUUCCAUUACUUACAACCAAAAUAGUCCUGAUUAAUACAUAGAAUAAUGUGAAUUUUUAUUUUUAUUCUGAUUUUUAUUCUGACUUUAUAAAAAAGAACUUUUACAAUUAUCCAUUAUGCUUGGAUAAAUGCGUGUGUAAAUAUUUGUUUGGGGUGGAGGAUGUACACUGAAAUGUUAACAUUAGAUUUCUGCGGAGGAUGAGUUGGAAGGAAUGAAGGAGACAUUAAUAUCUUUUUCUGGCAGGGCACGGUGGCUCACACCUGUAAUCCCAGCAUUUUGGAAGGUGGAGGUGGGCGGAUCACCUGAGGUCGGGAGUUCGAGACCAGCCUGACCAACAUGGAGAAACCCCGUCUCUAUUAAAACAUACAAAAAUUAGCUGGGUGCGGUGGCAGGCGCCUGUAAUCCCAGCUACUUGGGAGGCUGAGGCAGGAGAAUCGCUUGAACCUGGGAGGCGGAGGUUGCAGUGAGCUGAGAUCGCGCCAUUGCACUCUAGCCUGGGCAACAAGAGUGAAACUCCGUCUCAAAAAAAAAGAAAAAAAUCUUUUUCUUUGUCACCUAUGCAAUGUUUGACCUGCAAGUGCUUGUAUCUUUUGUAAUUGUUUAAAUCCCUCAAAAUUUUAAAUGAGUAUUGAAUAUAUUUUGUGUUUUUCCAAAUAUAAGAUUCUAUAAAGAAGAGAAUGAUGUAAGUGACCCGGGGGCAAUGGGGGGAGCUUAAAUUUGAAACUAGAAAAAAUUUUGAACAAAAUAAUCAUAAUUGUUAGCUGAUGAAAAACUAGAAAAUAUUUUCUGAGUAAAUUCUUGAUUUCAGAAAUUAACUAUAAUUUAUAUUGCUCUUAAUAUCUUACCCUUGAAUAUAAAUGAUUAAUGCCCUUUAAAAUGUCCUUUUUUCUAGCUAACCUGAUGUACAUAUGACAUUAAUCCAAUAGACUUAGGAAUAAGAUACAGGGGGUUUUCCUGAAUGAUUCGAGUAUAUCCCCAUUCAUAUUAAGAAAACAAAGUAUUGGCCAAGCGUGGUGGCUCACGCCUGUAAUCCCGGCACUUUGGAAGGCCGAGGCCAGUGGAUCACCUGAGAUGGACUCAACGACUCUCUUACCGUCCAGCUCUCAAGUCCCUUCUCUUGUGAAAAUGGAAAAGUUGAACUACAGUUGAGAUAUUAUUCCCAGGUGUUCUUUGGAACACAGGGGAUUUCUCCAAAAGGCACAGAACAAAUUGCCUCCAAACAGCCAAGAUUCCAGCAGAAGCUGGAGUAGCAGACUACUUGGAUCUUCAAAGUACCUGGCCCUGAGUCAGUUAAGGAAGAUCUUUUCUUCUCUUUUGUACAAUCCUAUGAUGAGAGCUGCAAAGUGAACUGACUAAGAGCUUCUGCCUUGAUCAUUGACCUCCCAAUCCUAAUAAUAUGUUCACUGGCCAAACUUCCUAAUCGAUUUGUCUUUUGGAUAUAACGUUCCUCCUACUGUUUGCCUGAUUGAGAAAUCUGCUACAGAACAUGACCGGUUAGCAUUCCCACCAACCCCAGUGCUACACUGACUGUCUUUCGAUGGACUUUGCUCCUUGCUGCCUCUCUGAGGUCCCAGACCUUCAGAGUGACCUUCACAGCUCUGCCUAACUUUCUGUCAUACUUCUAUCAAGAGAGACAGCUAAAUCAAUAUUUUUAAUGUGCUUUGCUGUCGGAAUUCGAUGAUCUGUCACAGUUCUUGCCCAAUACACCCCAUCAUUAUUGUUAAAAUGUUUUUAGCUUUGUUUGUAGAAUUGCUUUAACUGGUUUCAUCUCUGGGAGCUACACUUUGAAAUAUAACUUUAGCAACAUUUUACUAUACUUUUUCACAACCCAGAGCAGUACUAUUUUAUGCUUAGUGGUUAAACUAAUUCCAUAAAUCUUUUGCAACUAUCCUCUAUUCUUUUUCUUGUAAUUUUUACCUGGGAAGGUUUUUACUGAUAAUCAUCCUAUCCUGAGUCAUCCCACAAACCAAUCUGUCUCACUAAUCAUUGCUUCUAACCUACAGACUAAGCAUAACUUCUGCUAAAUGAUCUUUGAUAAGAUGCUAUGACUCUAUAAAGUCUUUGAUAUUCAUGUCUAAAUUUAAUCACUUGUAGAUUUUCAUAGAAUCAAUCUUUCACUUCUACAAUUGGGAGUAUUUAUAAGUUGUUUAUCUUAAACAGUUCCUCUAUCACGCUUUUCACGUUAAAUAAAGCAAUCCCUUCAAAUCAAUUUUCUGUCAUGUCUAAGAUGU